UUAUCUGGAAUAGAUAACGGCACAAAUGGUAUCGAAUGUAAUUGUUCCAUUACUGUAACGAUAUCUAAGCAGGAUCCUGUAAAACUUGAAAUAAAGAAUGUAACUGCUACAUCCAACCUGUGUGACUAUUCAUUACAUUCUGUAUAUGGAAAUAAUAAUACAAGACUCUAUUCGUGUGGUGAAUAUGCACAGUUACCUAAAAAGAGUUUUUAUUUGAAACCUAUGGAAACUGUGACACUGCAUAUGGAGAAAGGAACUUAUAAUGGUGUUGGAUUUCCCUUUUGUCUUCAACUACUUACUGGAAAAGGGUCUCAAAUAAAACUACAAUGUAGAUCCAACUCAACAACAACCACAACAUCGCCAGCACCUUCAACACACAAAAGUUCGACAAACACAAACAUCAGUAUUGUUAUUCAUUCAACAACUACACCACAACAACCAAAUAAUGAUAAUUCUGAUCGCAUGAUUGGUAUAAUAAUUGGAUCUAUAGUUGGUGUUCUGGUUGUGAUUGCGUUAGUUAUUACAAUUGUCUGCUUGGUAAAAAGACGAAAGAAAAAGCCUUCAUAUGAGACGCCGUUGGAACCACAAGAUAGGCCACAUAAUCAUGUAAAUGAAGCCAUAACACCAAACAACAACGCGAACGGUCACAAAAACCAAUACACGCAAGUCGGCAGUCAGGGAAUGAUCUAUUUAGAAAACGAUCUUUAUAAUAGUAUGGAUGACGACGUGCCGGUUGGGCCAAAAGGAGGUAACCACGCAGGCAUGAUGUAUCUUGAAAAUGAUCUUUAUAUAUCAAGCAAUGAAACUGAUAACGUUCAUCAAGGUGCAGAUAACUCAGUUCCUCAUCAACCUGUUGAAUAUGCUGUGGUUAAUAAACCCCCCAAGAAAAGUAAUUCUAGUGAUGGCGCAUCAACGGGUCAAACUGUUGGACCGCAUGGUGACGUAUACACGCUUGUACAAAAGAAAUAGUUAUAAAACAUCAAAUAACCUAGAAAAGAAAAAUGAUAGAUGGUUUAUGUUCAAACCAAUUGCAUUUUCAGUUAAUUAUGUCUUAUUUAAUUAUUAUUAUAUGCAUGUACAUACAUAUAAAUUCAAAAUUACUUCUUCUAAGUGGUAACUUGCAAUCAGGUCCAGUCAGGAUAGUUUUGUAUAAAUGAAAAAUCUUCGGAGCUGGAUUCUGAUAGCAAAUCAGUCUACAACCGGGGAGUAACAUAGGCCAGGUGGCGUUAAUCUACCACUUCCGGUUUCGGAAUUAUGACCCCCGAGCGAAGCCGGGUAUCCUGCUAGUUAUUAAUAUUGUCAAUACCUGUAAAUAUGUGGUCGUUAAAACGCAUCUUGUAUUUACAGAGUUUUGUUAUUAAUAGUGUCAAUACGUAUAACAUGGAAAUAAAGGAUCACUGAAGUCGCCUUAAUCUUUAUCCAAUAUA